rnacentral:rRNA from 1 species
CAGCAGCCGCGGUAAUACGGAGGGUGCAAGCGUUAAUCGGAAUUACUGGGCGUAAAGCGUGCGCAGGCGGUUAUAUAAGACAGAUGUGAAAUCCCCGGGCUCAACCUGGGAACUGCAUUUGUGACUGUAUAGCUAGAGUACGGCAGAGGGGGAUGGAAUUCCGCGUGUAGCAGUGAAAUGCGUAGAUAUGCGGAGGAACACCGAUGGCGAAGGCAAUCCCCUGGGCCUGUACUGACGCUCAUGCACGAAAGCGUGGGGAGCAAACAGGAUUAGAUACCCCCGUAGUCCCUGUCUCUUAUAC